GCCUGGGUGGCUCAGUCAGUUGGGCAUCUGACUUCAGCUCAGGUCAUGAUCUCACAGUCUGUGAGUUCGAGCCCCACGUUGGGCU
rnacentral:tRNA from 1 species